UUAUCCGGAUUUAUUGGGUUUAAAGGGUGCGUAGGCGGUUUGAUAAGUUAGAGGUGAAAUUUCGGGGCUCAACCCUGAACGUGCCUCUAAUACUGUUGAGCUAGAGAGUAGUUGCGGUAGGCGGAAUGUAUGGUGUAGCGGUGAAAUGCUUAGAGAUCAUACAGAACACCGAUUGCGAAGGCAGCUUACCAAACUAUAUCUGACGUUGAGGCACGAAAGCGUGGGGAGCAAACAGGAUUAGAUACCCUGGUAGUCCACGCAGUAAACGAUGAUAACUCGUUGUCGGCGAUACACAGUCGGUGACUAAGCGAAAGCGAUAAGUUAUCCACCUGGGGAGUACGUUCGCAAGAAUGAAACUCAAAGGAAUUGACGGGGGCCCGCACAAGCGGAGGAACAUGUGGUUUAAUUCGAUGAUACGCGAAGAA
rnacentral:rRNA from 1 species